rnacentral:ncRNA from 1 species
UUGUAACGCCAGUUGCAGUGCAGAGUAGCUAUGUCGGGAAGGGAUAACCGCUGAAAGCAUCUAAGCGGGAAGCCCACUUCAAGAUGAGUUUUCCCAUAUGUAUAUAGUAAGAACCGUUGUAGACUACAACGUUGAUAGGCUAGAGGUGGAAGCGUAGUGAUACGUUGAGCUGACUAGUACUAAUAGUUCGAGGAUUUAAUCAU